UACGAAGGGGGCUAGCGUUGCUCGGAUUGACUGGGCGUAAAGGGCGCGUAGGCGGUUCGUACAGUCAGACGUGAAAUUCCUGGGCUCAACCUGGGGGCUGCGUUUGAUACGUGCGGACUUGAGUGCGGAAGAGGGUCGUGGAAUUCCUGGUGUAGCGGUGAAAUGCGUAGAUAUCAGGAGGAAUACCGGUGGUGUAGACGGCUCUCUGGACCGCCACUGACGCUGAGACACGAAAGCGUGGGUAGCAAACAGG
rnacentral:rRNA from 1 species